rnacentral:rRNA from 1 species
UACGGGGGGGGGCAAGCGUUGUUCGGAAUUACUGGGCGUAAAGGGUGCGCAGGCCGCGCGGGCAGUCAAAUGUGUAAUCCAGGGGCUCAACCCCUGAACUGCGCUUGAUACUUCCGCGCUCGAGCUUUGGAGAGGAGUCUGGAAUUCUCGGUGUAGCAGUGAAAUGCGUGGAUAUCGAGAAGAACACUUAGGGCGUAGGCAAGACUCUGGACAAAUGCUGACGCUCAUGCACGAAGGCUAGGGUAGCGAACGGG